rnacentral:rRNA from 1 species
CAGCAGCCGCGGGAAUACGAAGGGGGCUAGCGUUGCUCGGAAUUACUGGGCGUAAAGGGAGCGUAGGCGGAUCGUUUAGUCGGGGGUGAAAUCCCGGGGCUCAACCUCGGAACUGCCUUCGAUACUGGCGAUCUUGAGUAUGGGAGAGGUGUGUGGAACUCCGAGUGUAGAGGUGAAAUUCGUAGAUAUUCGGAAGAACACCAGUGGCGAAGGCGACACACUGGCCCAUCACUGACGCUGAGGCUCGAAAGCGUGGGGAGCAAACAGGAUUAGAUACCCCUGUAGUCCCUGUCUCUUAUAC